AGCGAACGCUGGCGGCAGGCCUAACACAUGCAAGUCGAACGAAGCCUUCGGGCUUAGUGGCGGACGGGUGAGUAACACGUGGGAACGUACCUUUUGGUUCGGAAUAACGCAGAGAAAUUUGCGCUAAUACCGAAUGAGCCCUUAGGGGGAAAGAUUUAUCGCCGAAAGAUCGGCCCGCGUUGGAUUAGGUAGUUGGUGUGGUAAAGGCGCACCAAGCCUACGAUCCAUAGCUGGUCUGAGAGGAUGAUCAGCCACACUGGGACUGAGACACGGCCCAGACUCCUACGGGAGGCAGCAGUGGGGAAUCUUGCGCAAUGGGCGAAAGCCUGACGCAGCCAUGCCGCGCGAAUGAUGAAGGUCUUAGGAUUGUAAAAUUCUUUUACCAGGGACGAUAAUGACGGUACCUGGAGAAAAAGCCCCGGCUAACUUCGUGCCAGCAGCCGCCGUAAAAC
rnacentral:rRNA from 1 species